rnacentral:tRNA from 2 species
GCCGGACUAGCUCAGUGGUUAGAGCGCUGCCCUGAAGAGGCAGGCGUGCCCAGUUCGAUUCUGGGGUCCGGCACCA